GUAGGUGGCAAGCGUUGUCCGGAAUUAUUGGGCGUAAAGCGCGCGCAGGCGGUCCUUUAAGUCUGAUGUGAAAGCCCACGGCUCAACCGUGGAGGGUCAUUGGAAACUGGGGGACUUGAGUACAGAAGAGGAAAGCGGAAUUCCAAGUGUAGCGGUGAAUGCGUAGAGAUUUGGAGGAACACCAGUGGCGAAGGCGGCUUUCUGGUCUGUAACUGACGCUGAGGCGCGAAAGCGUGGGGAGCAAACAGGAUUAGAUACCCUGGUAGUCCACGCCGUAAACGAUGAGUGCUAAGUGUUAGGGGGUUUCCCGCCCCCUUAGUGCUGCAGCUAACGCAUUAAGCACUCCGCCUGGGGAGUACGGCCGCAAGGCUG
rnacentral:rRNA from 1 species